UGGGGAAUUUUCCGCAAUGGGCGAAAGCCUGACGGAGCAAUGCCGCGUGGAGGCGGAAGGCCUACGGGUCGUCAACUUCUAUUCUCGGAGAAGAAACAAUGACGGUAUCUGAGGAAUAAGCAUCGGCUAACUCUGUGUCAG
rnacentral:rRNA from 1 species